ACAUAGACUUCUCUUUUUUGAUAAAUUUCUCAUCUUUGCUGCGAUAUAUUCAUUUUAUGCCUUGAGUCUUGUUUUUUAAUUUUUUUUAUUUUCAAUAGAUAGAAAAUGGAUUCACUGUCUAGAGUGAUAAGAGUUUAAAUACUAUUGCUGGCCUCUUUUCUAUUUGCUUAAUUAUUGGGACAAAUCUCAAAUUGUUUUUUUCUUGAUGACAUUAAUUAAAUAAUAAACCCAUAAGAGUGUAGGGCUGUGAUUGGAUCCUCGAUUUUAUGAUUUUGUGUUAUAAUUUGAUAAACCCAUUAAUUAAAUUUGGCAUUGUUUGUGUGGAUGCUUUGUGGAGUCUUAAACACUAUUGCUGACCUUCUCAUACCAGUUUGUGUUAUUAACUCUAGUCACGAGGCUCUGAUUCGUCGUUUUCAGCUAGCAUUUUCGUUGCAAAGAUCGCUCUCACCGGAGGAGCAUUGUGAUUGAAUCCUUACCAUUCAGAGAAUCGUGCACCAGUUCUCUCUUCAAGAUAUUAAAGGACUUCUUUUACAGGGUCACUCCUACCAUCAUCUCGCAGGUCCCUCUUCACCUUGGCAACUUCUAUAGUUCUAUUUUCGUCCAAAGCUUAUAAUAUUCUUCCUCUUGUUAAGUGUACCAGAGAGACACUCACAGAGAAAAACGUAAGUGGCUACUGUUGAUGAAUUUUAACCUGUGC